AUUGAACGCUGGCGGCAUGCCUUACACAUGCAAGUCGAACGGUAACAGGUCUUCGGAUGCUGACGAGUGGCGAACGGGUGAGUAAUACAUCGGAACGUGCCCGAUCGUGGGGGAUAACGCAGCGAAAGCUGUGCUAAUACCGCAUACGAUCUACGGCUGAAAGCGGGGGAUCUUCGGACCUCGCGCGGACGGAGCGGCCGAUGGGAGAUUAGGUAGUUGGUGAGGUAAAGGCUCACCAAGCCGACGAUCUGUAGCUGGUCUGAGAGGACGACCAGCCACACUGGGACUGAGACACGGCCCAGACUCCUACGGGAGGCAGCAGUGGGGAAUUUUGGACAAUGGGCGCAAGCCUGAUCCAGCCAUGCCGCGUGCAGGAUGAAGGCCUUCGGGUUGUAAACUGCUUUUGUACGGAACGAAAAGGUUCUUUCUAGUAAAGAGAGCUCAUGACGGUACCGUAAGAAUAAGCACCGGCUAACUACGUGCCAGCCGCCGCAGUAAAAC
rnacentral:rRNA from 1 species